UGCUGCUUCUGCUGAUUCACAAUAUCGGAAGGAGGAAGGGAUCUGGCCUGACCAUCAGGUGUGUGCACUGGAUCUUCGCUGCUCCCUGGACUUUCCUCUACUUGUGACGAGCGGGGGCUACUCUCCAGUUUCGGACCCCAUGGACAGAGGAGCCUGGCGGGCUGCAGUCCAUGUGGUCGAGAAGAGUGGAACACGACUGAAGCGACUGAGGACGCACGCACGUGUCCACAGGUCUCAGAAGCGACACUGCUCUUUGGGCAGCAUCCGGGCUCCGCACCUCUGUGCUGACCUCCUUUCACC
ensembl:lncRNA